UACAGAGGGUGCAAGCGUUAAUCGGAAUUACUGGGCGUAAAGCGUGCGUAGACGGUUACGUAAGUCAGAUGUGAAAGCCCCGGGCUCAACCUGGGAAUUGCAUUUGAGACUGCGUAGCUAGGGUGCGGAAGAGGGAAGCGGAAUUUCCGGUGUAGCGGUGAAAUGCGCAGAUAUCAGGAAGAACACCCGUGGCUAAGGCGGCUCUCUAGUACGGUACUGACGCUGAGACGCGAAAGCGUGGGGAGCGAACAGG
rnacentral:rRNA from 1 species